GUAGCUGGCCUUCCGAGGCAUGUGCACGCCCUGCUCAUUCCACUCUACACCUGCCCUUAAACUGUGGGUCUCAGGCGAGCGUCGGUCGCUUCGCGGCGUCGUCGUUCAACUGGGCUCACGUUUUACUACAAACUAUUAAAGUAUCAGGAUGUCUACUGCGAAUUAACGCAUUUAAAUACAACUUUCAGCAACGGAUCUCUUGGCUCUCGCAUCGAUGAAGAACGCAGCGAAAUGCGAUAAGUAAUGUGAAUUGCAGAAUUCAGUGAAUCAUCGAAUCUUUGAACGCACCUUGCGCUCCUUGGUAUUCCGAGGAGCAUGCCUGUUUGAGUGUCAUGAAAUUCUCAACCUAACGAGUCUUUGCGGGCUCGGUAGGCUUGGACUUGGAGGUUCUUGUCGGCCUAACGGUCGGCUCCUCUUAAAUGCAUUAGCUCGGUUCCUUGCGGAUCGGCUCACGGUGUGAUAAUUGUCUACGCCGCGACCGUUGAAGCGUUUUGGCCGGCUUCUAAUCGUCUCGUUGGAGACACUACUCUUUAUGACCUUCUGACCUCAAAUCAGGUAGGACUACCCGCUGAACUUAAGCAUACAU
rnacentral:rRNA from 1 species